rnacentral:rRNA from 1 species
GACAGAGGGUGCAAACGUUGUUCGGAAUUACUGGGCGUAAAGCGCGUGUAGGCGGUUCGGAAAGUCGGAUGUGAAAGCCCUGGGCUCAACCCAGGAAGUGCACUCGAAACUCCCGAACUAGAGUCCUGGAGAGGAAGGCGGAAUUCUCGGUGUAGAGGUGAAAUUCGUAGAUAUCGAGAGGAACAUCGGUGGCGAAGGCGGCCUUCUGGACAGCGACUGACGCUGAGACGCGAAAGCGUGGGGAGCGAACAGG